UUCUUUGCUGGCGACCGGCGCACGGGUGAGUAACACGUAUCCAACCUGCCCUUUACUCGGGGAUAGCCUUUCGAAAGAAAGAUUAAUACCCGAUAGUAUAAUGAUUCCGCAUGGUUUCAUUAUUAAAGGAUUCCGGUAAAGGAUGGGGAUGCGUUCCAUUAGGUUGUUGGUGAGGUAACGGCUCACCAAGCCUUCGAUGGAUAGGGGUUCUGAGAGGAAGGUCCCCCACAUUGGAACUGAGACACGGUCCAA
rnacentral:rRNA from 1 species